AACGUAGGACGCAAGCGUUAUCCGGAGUUACUGGGCGUAAAGCGCGGGCAGGCGGUCUUGCCAGUCUGAUGUGAAAUCUCCUCGCUCAACGGGGAGCAGCCAUUGGAAACUACAAGACUGGAGUCUGACAGAGGUAGGCGGAAUUCCGGGUGGAGUGGUGAAAUGCGUAGAGAUCCGGAGGAACACCAGAGGCGAAGGCGGCCUACUGGGUCAGUACUGACGCUGAGGCGCGAAAGCCAGGGGAGCGAACGGG
rnacentral:rRNA from 1 species